rnacentral:SRP_RNA from 1 species
AGUGAGGAUCAUACGGUCAGCUCCCGCUGAACUCCCCCAGGGCAGAAAUGCAGCAAGGGUAAGUGGUCGUAGCGACCGGUAUGGUUUCUCACUCUU